UACGAAGGGGGCUAGCGUUGUUCGGAAUUACUGGGCGUAAAGCGCGCGCAGGCGGUCUUCCAAGUCAGUGGUGAAAGCCCGGAGCGCAACUCCGGAAUUGCCAUUGAAACUGUUAGACUUGAGGAUGAGAGAGGUGAGUGGAAUUCCCAGUGUAGAGGUGAAAUUCGUAGAUAUUGGGAAGAACACCGGUGGCGAAGGCGGCUCACUGGCUCAUUACUGACGCUCAGGCGCGAUAGCGUGGGGAUCAAACAGG
rnacentral:rRNA from 1 species